rnacentral:tRNA from 1 species
CGGCCGCUGGACGACGGUGCGCGUUCGGCCCGUUCCCGGCCGCUGCACGACGGUGCGCGUUCGGCCCGUUCCCGGCCGC